rnacentral:rRNA from 1 species
CCUACGGGUGUCAGCAGUGAGGAAUAUUGGUCAAUGGGCGCGAGCCUGAACCAGCCAAGUCGCGUGAGUGAUGACUGCCCUACGGGUUGAAAGCUGCUUUAAUAAGGGAAUAAAUUGAGGAACGUGUUCCUUUUUGUAUGUACCAUAUGGAUAAGCAUCGGCUAACUCCGUGCAAGCAGCCGCGGUAAUCCGGAGGAUGCGAGCGUUCACCGGAUUUAUUUGGUUUAAAAGGUGCGUAGGUGGUUCAUUAAGUCAGCGGUGAAAGCUUGUGGCUCAACCGUAAAAUUGCAUUUGAAACUGGGUGACUGGAGUGUAUGUGAGGUAGGCGGAAUGCGUGGUGUAGCGGUGAAAUGCAUAGAUAUCACGCAGAAAUCCGAUUGCGAAGGCAGCUUACUAAACUAUAACUGACACUGAAGCACGAAAGCGUGGGGAUCAAACAGGAUUAGAUACCCGGGUAGUC